rnacentral:rRNA from 1 species
AUUGAACGCUGGCGGCAGGCCUAACACAUGCAAGUCGAGCGGAUGAAGGGAGCUUGCUCCUGGAUUCAGCGGCGGACGGGUGAGUAAUGCCUAGGAAUCUGCCUGGUAGUGGGUGAUAACGUCCGGAAACGGGCGCUAAUACCGCAUACGUCCUGAGGGAGAAAGUGGGGGUGCUUCGGAUCUCACGCUAUCAGAUGAGCCUAGGUCGGAUUAGCUAGUUGGUGGGGUAAAGGCUUACCAAGCCGACGAUCCGUAACUGGUCUGAGAGGAUGAUCAGUCACACUGGAACUGAGACACGGUCCAGACGCCUACGGGAGGCAGCAGUGGGGAAUAUUGGACAAUGGGCGAAAGCCUGAUCCAGCCAUGCCGCGUGUGUGAAGAAGGUCUUCGGAUUGUAAAGCACUUUAAGUUGGGAGGAAGGGCAGUAAGUUAAUACCUUGCUGUUUUGACGUUACCAACAGAAUAAGCACCGGCUAACUUCGUG